CGGUAUAUGUUAACAAUUGAAUUUAGAGAAAGUUCCACAACGAUGAGAAGAUGAAGAACUCUAGGAUAUAUCGGUGAAGAGAGAGAGAGAGAGAGAAAGAGAGAGAGAGGGAGAGAGAGUUCAGAGGAAAAAUGUGAAAAUCUAUUAUUGGACAAAAUCUGUACAACUAUUACAAACUGGGUCUUUUUUACGUACAUGAUAAAAUCGGGCCCCUCAUUUAAUGUGCCUCAUUAAGAAUAACAUAAUUACAACAGAUGGGCUGGCCCAUCUUGACUACUUAACACUACUAACACAUAAUUACAACAGAUGGGCUAACCCAUUUUGACUACUUAACACAACUAACUUUACUAGCCUUAGCACAACUAACUUCAGCUCCAAC
rnacentral:lncRNA from 1 species